rnacentral:rRNA from 1 species
UACGGAGGGAGCUAGCGUUGUUCGGAAAUACUGGGCGUAAAGCGCACGUAGGCGGCGCAGCAAGUCAGGGGUGAAAUCCCGGGGCUCAACCCCGGAACUGCCCUUGAAACUGCAGUGCUAGAAUUCUGGAGAGGCGAGUGGAAUUCCGAGUGUAGAGGUGAAAUUCGUAGAUAUUCGGAAGAACACCAGUGGCGAAGGCGACUCGCUGGACAAGUAUUGACGCUGAGGUGCGAAAGCGUGGGGAGCAAACAGG